CAAGGAUAAAAGUAGAGGAAAUACUUUUAUUAGAGAAAUAUGGUUACACCUUGAAGAAAUAGAAAUUCAAGAUUUGAGACACAAAUGCAUACAAUGCUUACAAGUUGUGGGACCCCUUUCUUUACAAGAAUUUGGAAUUCACAGCUUGCUACUCUAAAGAUUUCAAGCUCCAAGGCUUGGAUAAUAGCCAAAUAGUAGCAAAAUAGAUUAGGCUUAGAUUUCAAGUUCCAAGGCUGGGAUAAUAGCUACAAAUAGUAGCAAGAUAGAUUAGGCUUGGUGCAAGUCCCUUCUACUCUUCCCUCUUCUCUUCUCUUCUCUUCUUCCUCGAUUUUCGUGACCCACAAAGCUCCAAGAAGGCAGCCUGCACCUGCAAAAGUGAAACACCAAAAGAGGUUAGAAAAGUUAUCAACCAAAAGAAUCCAAAGGAGUACAAUUUCAUCCAAAUAGCAAGUCUUGCUGCAAUCUACCAAGGGAAGGAUCAGAUAUCCCCCAAAUCUUACAAGAGAAGGAAAGAGACAACUUGAGGCCAGAUUAUGAGCUCAAUUGAGAGCACCAAAUGAGGAAAACAUGCAGAAACCCAUGAGAUCAGCCCUUUAGGAUGCCAAGAAUUUCACCAAAGUAGGCAUGGAAGCCUACUAACAAACUUGAAAGAAAGCCAACCUAGCAGCCAAAAAUAGGAGAGUUUCUCCCCAACAUUUCAGGCACAAGAUGCCAAGAAUGAGAGCUAUAUAAACAGCCCCCUCUCCACUCCAUCCUCCCCACUUUUCGAUUCCCAAACUUUACAUAUCUUAAGAGAGCAGCAGAGGGGAGGAAGAGGAGCAAGAGGAGGGAACAAGCAAGUAUUGACAGCAAACCAACAGCCACGACUAAGGAGGAUUUUUCGAACAAGGUAAACCUCACCCCACACCAUCUAUGCAUCAUAUAGAGCAAAUAGAUAGCGCAAGAACUUAAGAUAGCAAUACGAUUCCUCCACAACAACAUGAGCAAGCAUCACCUAAGCAUAGUCUCAACAAUCAUUCUGCCAAGAACCACAAUAUAGAGUUUCUGCCGAAACCCCGAUAAGUUGACACAGUAAGCAAAUCCUCGCAAGAUCAAAGCUUGAACAUCACCAAUAAGCCAAGAAAAGAUUUCACAUAUACUUCUCAAACACCAAAGUCCCCAGACAAAGGGUAGUUACACUACUGCGGGAAAAUUAAAUGAAGGAGAUAAGAGAAGUUUAUAAAAGACUUAGCUUAAUCGUGGGGCGCCCCGAAUCACACCGAAUAGAGCUGACAGCGGCGAGUAUCAGCGGAACCCCGAACGGGUUCCGCAGAGCAGCUGCAGGCGUGCGGCGAUAGAGUGGAGCGCGGACGCCGCUGCUUCUCUAUUCUCGAUCGUAGCGGUAAGGAAGUGAGAGAAAGGAGACCCGAAUCGCCGUGGGGGAAGACGCCGGCAGAGCCGGCGACCGGCGUGAGACCGUCGGAAGUGGCGAUUUCGCCGAGGAAAGGUAGGCGAAGAAGCUGCUUUACAUUUCUAAUUUGGGGAAAAUUGGAAAAGUAAUACGAAGGAGAAGGGGUGGAGGAGGGAGUAACCGCUGGAGUAGUGCUAUGGCGACGCAGAGCAUUGUCGAUUUCGCCGGAGUAGCGCGAGGAGCGGCGCCACUGACCUCCCCCUUCACUUGGGGUUUUCUUCCAAAAUUUUGUUGAAUGAGGAAGUAUUAGAGAGGGAAAACCGAUGGUGGAGAAAGAAGGAUUUUGAGGAAUUGUGAAGAAUGUGAUUUGGGGAAAAGUAGAUUGGAUUUGAAAGUGAGAAGAAGAGGAAAAGAAAAUAAAGAUGUUGAGGGAGAAAGAGAGUCCGACGGAUGGGAGUAUAUGUGGUCCCUUAGUGGAUAAAUUAGAUUGGGCCAAGGACUUAAUCAAAAGUGGGCCAAAAUUGUGUGUAGAAAUACUAUACAAAUUAAGUGGUUUGGGCUCUAAUUAGUAAAUGGACCGAUUUUAAUUAUUGUUAUGCAGGGCCGAGAUUGAAUUGUUGGGCUUGGAAAUAAAUCAUGUUGGAAGGGAAUUAAUUUAAGGAAUGGAGCUUGGAGCUCAAUUAAAUUAAUUCCCAACUAAGUUACUAAGUUUCGAAAAUGGAAAAGUGUGGAAGCGAGAGACGUGAAUGGCCGACCGGCGUCGCCCCGGGACGCCAUGAGCGGCCUUAAGAAAAUUCAAAGAAAGGAAUUAGAAGGGAUUUUUCCAAGAAUCCAUAUUUUAUUAAAUAAGUGCCCGAGUUUUGUUUUCGAGAAAAUAGAAUUACUCCGAACUUAGUAAAGUGAAUAAAUAAAUUCUGCAGAGUAGUGAAGCCGAUGUAGGAUUAAGAAAAUCCUAUAAGCCAAGACUAAGAUAUAGGUGCUAUCCAAUAGGAUGCAUGCAUUCUUUCUCAAGAAAAAUAGUUCAAGUACUAAUUAGCGUGCUACGUUAUUUAUUUUCAAAGGAUAAAUUGCUCAAGGGAAAGUGAGGCCAAAGCGAGUAAUUGAAUUGAGGAAUAAGCAUAUCAGGUUAAACGUCACGAGGAUGGAGUGAUGAUCAGAGUCGAUGUUAUUAAAUAAUCAAGUUGAUCUUCCAACGAUUCGUGUGUUCAUACACGAAGUCGUUUAGUAAGGACUUAUUCCGUUAUGCUUUUGUGAAGUGAGAAUUGUAGAAUCUCACCAUCAAACUCUGAUUUAUUGAUGAGAUGUUUAUCCUAUUUCCAAGAUCAUGUAAUUGAAUACUUGACUUCUAUUUUAUGAUAUCAAUCGACUUGACCUUUGUA